CUGCGGUCGCCAUGGCAACGGGGGGAGGGGCGCAGGUAGCCCGGGGCAGCCGCGACGGCCCCGCACGGCCCGGGGGGGGGUCCCUGGGGGGGUCCCUCGGUGAAAGGGGGGCGAGGGGCCGCGAGGGAACGGGGUGGUGGCACCCGGGGUGCCCCGUGAGGGCGCUGAGGUUGGUGUCCGGCAGCCCAGCUGACAGGGCUCCCUCCUGCACCCCUACCUGAGCCCACCGACGGCACAAACCGACAAAGUCAGCUUUUCAAUAAACUUUCCUGUGACGGUACCGCACACCCUGGGCACGCCUGGUGUCACGGGGGGGCAGAUAACCAGGCUGGAAGAAGGGUGAAACCGCUUAAGCCACGCAGAUGCACGCCUCUUCGCCGUUUUCGGACUCCCCUGGCUCACGUGGGCAUAAAUACGUGGAGAAAUGCAUGAAAUGCAUGCUUCUGGGAUCAAGAAUAAACUACGUAUUUGUGUCUUUGUCGGAAAGGCUCCCGUGGGGCAAUCCUCCUAAGCACUGGGAUUGCCUGUUUGGCAGCAAGGAGGCUUAUAAAAAGCAACUCCAGGUGGAAGUGGGCCUUUUCCUGCUCCUCCCUCCACACUGCUGCAAUUCCCUGUCGUCGAGGCCCUGA
rnacentral:lncRNA from 1 species